rnacentral:rRNA from 1 species
GCAACGAUGUAACACCAGACUUUUUUUGCAGUAUCACUUAUCCAGUGAAGACCGGAGACAUGUGCAGGUGGGCAGUUCGGCUGGGGCGGCACCCCUUUGAAAAGAUAUCAAAGGGGCCCAAAGUUGAGUUCAAACGGGGCAGAAAUCCGUUGAAGAGGGCAAAGCCAAAAACUCGACUGAAUGGAUUUCCAAACGCACGGAAUUCAUAGACGAAAGUCUGGCUUAGCGAUCCUUCGUGUGCCCACUAUUGGGGCCCGGAGGUGACAGAAAAAUUACCCCAGGGAUAACAGGCUCGUCGCGGGCGAGAGCUCCUAUCGACCCCGCGGUUUGGUACCUCGAUGUCGGCUUUUCCUAUCCUGGUCCUGCAGCAGGGGCCAACGGUGAGGCUGCUCGCCUAUUAAAAGGGAACAUGAGCUGGGGUUAGACCGUCCUGA